CUUCUUUGGUGACUAGAGCUACUUGUACAGCAUGGCCACCAGAAGUUGUCGAUGCUCCACUUAUUUAUAUAUCCAUUGGAGAAAGCAGUAUUCUUUUUAAGGUACAUGAACAAGGUACUUUGCUAUCUAAAGAAAAGUUUAUCUGCAGUUACACUAGCUUCUGGAUUUAUGUACUGCCUGUUCAUACGUAAAACUUUCCGAUGGUGAGCUACUUUGGUUGAUACCGUUAAGAGGGUCUUCUGGUUUUUAGUAUGAGUAAGCCGUGAGUUUUGUGAUUGCUUCCUUUUGGAUGGCUCCUUGCACUUUCAUUUCGUUCACUUAGCAUGUGUUAAUCACUAUGAAAUUCAAUAUUUAAUUUCAUGAUUUGUAUACCUAAUGUGCUCCAUUAGUUUUCUAAGAUGAACCAGUGCUCCUUGAAUCUCAAAAUUUGAAAUACUUUCUACAUAAAGUCCGGCCAUCAUCUGGUUGUGGAAAUAUGAUGUCCCCUUUUUGGUGCAUAUUAGCAUUGGUUAAUGAUUGUCAGUGCUUCUACCAGUUGGACAAAAAAGUGUCAGGAGAACGGUUGUUAUAUGAGUUUGCUAAAGGGGGUCGAAAUUUUGAGAUAGUGAUGAUUUGACAAUUCUAGCUGAUAGGUACUUGAAAAUCUUGGUUUGUUAAUGUAAAUUACAACCAAAAAUGAACAGUCUCAACAAGAGACCAUAAUCAGACUAUUUGAAGCAUAUCUUUCAAAUUGCAGUUUGUCUUGAUUGGUCUAUUAAAUUUGCCAGAACUUACGGUAUUAUUUUCAUGUUUUUCUCCAGAUGAAAACAUGGCAACUUCCUUCACUGGACUAUUCAUGUUCAUCACUUUGGUCAAGUAUGUUCUGAUCAUAUUACCAGAUGAUGUGUAUUCAUUGUUUUCAUUCUCUUGUAGUCAUCAGCUUCCUCUUAGUAUAUCUUCUUGGCAAAUGGUUGUUGCACUUCCUUCACGUCUUCAGCUUUUGGUUAUUAAUCUACAUGGUAGGGGUCGAUGCCAAACCUCCCGUCAUUACAAGACGGCUUUAAAUAAAUAAAAAAAAUGGUUGUUGCACUGCUUCGUUUUGUUCUUUCCCUUUAUUAUAGGGUAAUGAGCUAAUUAAGGCCAUGUAUUUCCCAUUCUCAUCUCAGAGUGAGAAAAGAAAUACAAGGUAGUGCACGUAUCUUGGAAAAUCUUUUAACUGAAGUUUUUCGCUUGAUUCUUCUGUCACACACACUCACAAAAAUAUUUGUUUACACGUUACGCGUACACCACAAUUCUUUCUUUUUUGGUUACAAAGACGUGCGUUACUUGUAAAUGGGAGCUCCAGGAGAAAAAAAGUAAAACAUGGUAUGGCGUUGUUCUCUUGGAUAUUGUUUUCCUAUUUCAAGUGUGCCCAAAAUUAUUCUAAACAACAUCUUAGGACUUCAGCUUCCAAGUUUUUAGGUGUCUCUACUGUAUGUAUACUAAUUAUAACCUUUUUCUUCAUUUAGAGAAGAAAUUGCCACUUCAUAUGUAGUGAAAAUGCAGAACCUAGCUUCUCAUCUAUCGCAACUGUUUCCGCUGUCCACACUCCUGUCUCUACAAUUAGCAUCCACAGGGAAGAUGUAAAGCUAAUACUACUGCAGCAAUUGAUAAUGAAAUUGAUUUGGUUGAUGAGUUGGAACAUAUGUUUAUACUUUCUGAAGAAAAGGGGAACCCUUGCAAUUACUUGGUUAGUCUGUCUUGCUAGGCAUGCAGGUAUAUAGGACAGUGCUGUCAAAGGAAAGAUCAAGGUACUUAGUAUUUUGCCUCAUCUGAUGUUGUUUCAAAAAAUUUCAUUACCUCUCUUAUAUAGGCAGAAUAUUUUGCACUGGGCUAUAUUACUGUUGGAGAGAGUUGCUAUAUUGGAAAUGUCUGAUAAACCAGUUGCAUUUACGAGGAAGAAACUUAAUCCUAUUUCUAGUGGGGAUGUCAUUUUUGUAUUGCGUUUACUUCUUGUCCUUGCAAUUAAUCUUCAUGCUUUUAGUUAAGAAUCUACUAACCUUGUGCCAUUCACAACAGUGUUAUCAAAGACUCGCUUAAACUUCUAAGAGAUACACAGCUCAGAUUGGGAGCUCCGUGUCACUUAGGUGGUGCUUCGAUGAAGAAGCUAAGGUGCAAGAGAGUGCACCUUCAGGAAAAUCCGCCGACUAACAGUUACAAAGAAAAGGUUAACUUAUGAGGUGCAUAGUGUCUAUCUCGAGGAGGACGAGAGAGAUGAAUGACAGGCGAACACUAUAUUAAUUGUUAAGAGAACAUUUUGGGUAACUAUGUUUGUAAUAAAGAUAUACAAAACUAGUCAAUUGAUUUGAAUCGGUAACUUAUAAGCUUUUGUGUCCACAUUUAUUUUUUCUUGGGUUAUACGUCUUUUUUUAUUUUCCUUAAUUAUGUACCUUUCUAACUUUAUAAGGUAGUGGUAAGGUGCGCAUGCACACUAACCUUCCCAGACCCACUUAUGGAUUAUAAUGGGUUUUUUUUUGUUGUUGUUGUUUCAUUAUGCACCUUCUUUCAGUAAGGUUUCAAUGUAAAGGAAGGAGUAAACAUGAAGUUUCUGAGUCUAUAUCGAUGAUGGAAGCCUUCUGAGAUACUAUUUGAUCAUGAUAUGACUUGGUCAAGAUUGGACUUAAUGAAACACGUAGAGUUUGAUCCUUUGUUCAACUGUUUAUGACUUCAACUUGUGCAGAGUAAUAGGUUUUUCUCCUGUAGAGGUAACCACUGCUGCUGCUUCUGUGGCAAACGUGUCAUUGUACCCGAGGAAGACCUUGAGACUUUUUUGGAAACUGUUGCUGAAUUUUGAGGUAAUUCCCUGUUGUUCUUUAUGGAACUUUUCUUUAUAGAAUUGCUAAUAGAGUUUCAUGCUUCACGUUGUUAUUGCACCUAAGCUGUUAUAUGGAGAACCUAAUGCAAGAACAUCGUAUGCUGAAUAGUGAAAUUGAUCUUCUCUAUAGAACCAUAAACUAGCAAUAUUUUACAUUUGCAAUAUUAUAUGUUUAUUUAUGGGAAAAGGGCCAAGAUAUAUUGUUCACAUUUAUCCUCCGUUAUAAUAUCGGGUCAAAUCUACCCUCAUCGUUAGCAAAGUUUUCAAAUUUGCCCUCUAAUCUAACGAAAAGCCCCCAAAUCUCAAAUUCCUUCUAUUUACUACAAUUUUUUCUCACAAAUAACUUAUCUCCGCGUGUGCUCUAUCAGAUAAGAAAAUAUCCUCGACAAGCUGAUUUCUUAUUCCACUUGAUUAUUUAGAGCAGGAAGACUUGACAAACUUGCCACCUCCAGACAUGAGAACACUAGUAAAUAUUCCUUUGAAAGAAUGUUCGACAUAAAUUUAAACAAAUCAUUUAAUUUAGGAUUUCUCAAACAAUACUAAAGAAUUAUUUGUCACAAAUUUCAUGCAGAAGUGCUUGCGCAAGCAAAAUUUGCAUCAAAUAACAUGCUAAAUCCAAAUCCGAAAGGGAAUGCAUUUACAUGGAUACCUACGGCCUUGUUAUGCUUGUAGUCCAUAAAAAAUAGUAAAUAUUAGUAACUUCAUAAGCGAAUGCAUUUCGACCACCUGAAGAAUCAAAUAAAUCUCUUCCAAAUUAUCUACGGUAUUUCACUCAUCCUCAUUCCGUUAGAGACAUACCCAUAAACUGUGAAUUUUGCGUUUCAUUUAUGGUUUGAGCAUAACCAAAGACAAGGGGAAUAAUUAUGCUGUAACUCCACACUCCCAUUUCUAUAAUAUGAACCUUUUUUCUUCUCUGAUGGAUCACACGUAGGAGAAGACUGAUUUGUGAGAAGAAUUGCGGUAAAUAGAAGGGAUUUGGGGCUUUCCGUUUGGUUAGAAGGCAAAUUUGAAAACUUUGCUAACGGUGAGGGUAGAUUUGAUCCGAUAGUAUAACGGAGAUAAAUAUGAACAGUAGAGGGGUAUAUUUGGCCCUUUUCCCUUUAUUUAUUGACUUACAUUUGUGUGCACCAUAAGAAGUAUGACAAAAGGCUCUAAAGAAUCAAUCACUGGCUUUAAAUGGAAACGAUUGGAAGCAGUCUUCGUUGCAGACUUUGCAUUGAAGAAAUACCGGACAAAGUGACUUGGUGCAGACUAACGUAAGAGUUUCCAAAUCAAGAUAAAUAGCAAUCAGUUCAUUCACCAUCAACAAUCUGAAGUAAGUUACAGGAGUGAACUGCAUUAGAAGGUAUCUGCCAAGACAACAGUUGUUUUUUUAAUUCAAUUGUCAGCCUCUUUUUUCCACCUUGUUUUCGUUUUCGUUUUGUUUCUUUCAUCUUC
rnacentral:lncRNA from 1 species